rnacentral:rRNA from 1 species
GUGGCGCGCGCCCCUCCCAAGCCCAGUCCGAAUUGGACAAGGGGUUUGGGGCGCGGCCCCCCUCUCCCUCCCUUCUCCUCUUCCCCCCUUUCUCCCCCUUCUCCUAGUUGGAGUAGGAAAGGAGGAAACCUACUCCAACUAGGAGUAGGAAUCCUACUCCCUUGGCGCGCCCCUCCUAGGGCCGGCCUCCUCCUCCCUUGCUCCUUUAUAUACGGGGGCAGGGGGCACCCCAUAGACACAACAAUUGAUCCCUUGGAUCUCUUAGCCGUGUGCGGUGCCCCCCUCCACCAUAACCCACCUCGGUCAUAUCGUAGCGGUGCUUAGGUGAAGCCCUGCGUCGGUAGAACAUCAUCAUCGUCACCACGCCGUCGUGCUGACGAAACUCUCCCUCAACACUCGGCUGGAUCGGAGUUCGAGGGACGUCAUCAGGCUGAACGUGUGCUGAACUCGGAGGUGCCGUGCGUUCGGUACUUGAUCGGUCGGAUCGUGAAGACGUACGACUACAUCAACCGCGUUGUGCUAACGCUUCCGCUUUUGGUCUACGAGGGUACGUGGACAAUACUCUCCCCUCUCAUUGCUAUGCAUCACCAUGAUCUUGCGUGUGCGUAGGAAUUUUUUUGAAAUUACUACGUUCCCCAACAAAAGUACCUGUGAGCAUGUAGGUUUGGUUGAAAUUGGUUACGACGACGUCGAGUUGGCGGCGGAGGCAGACUCAGCAUGAAGGCCAGCCGCCCGGCGGUGUGGAACGUAGUGGUAAUAAUACACACUCCGUUCCGAAACAAAGAAAGAGGUGUGUGGCGCACUCACGAGGGACUGCCAGUGAGAUACUGGAGGAAGGUGGGGAUGACGUGAAGUCUGCAUGGCCCUUAUGGGCGGGGCCACACACGUGCUACAAUGGCAAUGGCAAUGGGAAGCAAGGCUGUAAGGCGGAGCGAAUCCGGAAAGAUUGCCUCAGUUCAGAUUGUUCUCUGCAACUCGGGAACAUGAAGUUGAAAUCGCUAGUAAUCGCAGAUCAGCAUGCCGCGCUGAAUAUGUACCCGGGCCCUGUACACACCGCCCGUCACACCCUGGGAAUUGGUUUCGCCCGAAGCAUCGGACCAAUGAUCACCCAUGACUUCUGUGUAUCACUAGUGCCACAAAGGCCUUUAGUGGUCUUAUUGGCGCAUACCACGGUGGGAUCUUCGACUGGGGUGAAGUUGUAACAAGGUAGCAGUAGGGGAACCU